rnacentral:tRNA from 1 species
UUACAGUGUAGCCAAGUGGUAAGGCAUACGGUUUUGGUCCGUAUAUACGUGGGUUCGAUUCCUUCCACUGUAAU